GUCAGGAUGGCCGAGUAGUCUAAGGCGUCAGACUCAAGGCUCUAUCUUCCCCUCUCCUGGGUAUUCUGGCCUCUGUAUAGAGGCGUGGAUUCAAAUCCCACUUCUGACA
rnacentral:tRNA from 1 species